rnacentral:rRNA from 1 species
UACGUAGGGUGCGAGCGUUAUUCGGAAUUACUGGGCGUAAAGCGCGUGUAGGCGGCAGGGCAAGUCUGGUGUGAAAGCCCGGGGCUCAACCCCGGAAGUGCAUUGGAAACUGCUCUGCUUGAGUACCGGAGAGGAAGGGGGAAUUCCCGGUGUAGCGGUGAAAUGCGUAGAUAUCGGGAGGAAUACCAGUGGCGAAGGCGCCCCUCUGGACGGGUACUGACGCUGAGGCGCGAAAGCGUGGGGAGCAAACAGG